rnacentral:lncRNA from 1 species
GUCUUUCUCGUCCCUUCCUAGCAGUGAUCCCAGGAGCACCCUUAAUGAUGCUGAAGAAGAAAGAGUUAAAAGAUGAGACAAAAAAUAAAACAGCAUGUAAGCAUCUCUGCAGUUGCUGUCCCCAGAGCCCACUUCCUGGAUAUUGCCAGCUGCCUGGACCAACCUUUCCGAAAGAUCAGCCAGGUCACAGUGAGGGUCAAAGGUGAGCCACGGGCCUCAGCAGCUGCUGAGUGGAUGGUGCGUGGGACUCAGGAAGUGACGUUCUCUCCCCGCCCAGCCCCCUUCCUCAGUCUAUUGCUCCGAAUCCUGGACCACACACUGCGUGCUGAGGCUCCAUCGCUGUGCUGGGUGAGGGGUGGAGGACUGUCCAGCUGACAGCCACCCAGGAGGCCUGCCCAGGAGACCCAGCCCAGCCUCUCCUUGGAACCUGAAGAACUCCAGGCAGCUGAUGGGACACUGGGGCCCAGAACAUUGGCAAGCACGUUGAUAGAGUGCCCACAUUGUACUGAACUCUGAGGGGAAUAGUCUCGUCCCCAUCACUCAGGUGGGGAAACUGAGCAGGAGGCCACUGGAGGCUCCAAGGGCUCUGAAAUGUUGAGAACUUCCCUGCAGGUACCAGCGAAGAGGGCAAGAACACAGCACUACUUCCUUGGAUACUGUUUCCCUCCUCAGAGGGGUUUUCUGAGCUGCCCUGGGUCCUGUGAGGAAGAUCUCCCCUUCCUGUAAAGACACCAGUCCUACUGGAUCAGGGCCCACCCGUGUGACUUCACUUUUACUUGAGUACCUCUCACAGACCCUAACUCCAAAUCAGGUCACUUGCUGAGGUACUGCAUGUGAAGACUUUGACAUUUGAAUUUUGAGGGGGCCACCGUUUAACCUGAACCACCAAGGACAGAGCCAAAGACCCUGGGUGACAGGCCCAGAACAGGACCUGGUGGAGGCUCUUCUUUAGGGGAGAGAGGGAAAUGGGAGCCACCACUGGCAGAGCCUGAAGGCAGGGCAGCCAGAAAGAAGCUGUGGGAGUCCCCACCAUGGAAGACCCUGCCGAGCAUCCUGUGUCUCCUGAAGCAGACCCUGACAUGAGGACUGGGGGCACGUGUUUAUUAAGGGCGAUCCCCGGAAGGAGGAGAUAACCAGGCAGAAGUCCUAGCAGAGUAUGCCCACGCUGGUUAGUGCUGCUGCAAAGAUGAGCCGAAGACCAUGAGAGACCUCCAGGUGGUCCUUCUGGGGAGAAGAAAUGGGUUUUGGCCCCAAAUCCUUCUGCUGCAUUUUUCCCCUAUCCCUGGGAAGCCAUGAGACCUCAAACCUGUGUUCCCAAGGAGGCGAGCUGCUGUUCCCAGGUGAUGAUAUGAUGUGCUUGGGGAAAGUAAGUGGCUGCCAGACAUGGCUGAGAGCUGUUGUCACUGCCGUCAAGUGCAUGUCUCCAAGCCAUAUCACACGGCGUCCCUCGAUGUGAGGCCACAUGGCAAGUGGGCCGUGGAUCUCCCUCUGCCCUUUGCAAGCACGUAAGACAGCAGAUUUUGCAGAUACCUUGUGGCGCAGGGGAAUUUCCUUUGGCCAGGUCUGAAGAAAUAAAGCAGCAGGCACCGAGAACAAAGCCAAGGCUUUCAAAAGACAAGGAGCCAAAAAACUUACUCAAAAUAAAAGUAGUUUUAAAAUGUC